AUACGUAGGGUGCGAGCGUUAAUCGGAAUUACUGGGCGUAAAGCGGGCGCAGACGGUUACUUWAGCAGGAUGUGAAAUCCCCGGGCUCAACCUGGGAACUGCGUUCUGAACUGGGUGACUAGAGUGUGUCAGAGGGAGGUAGAAUUCCACGUGUAGCAGUGAAAUGCGUAGAGAUGUGGAGGAAUACCGAUGGCGAAGGCAGCCUCCUGGGAUAACACUGACGUUCAUGCCCGAAAGCGUGGGUAGCAAACAGGAUUAGAUACCCUGGUAGUCCACGCCCUAAACGAUGUCGAUUAGCUGUUGGGCAGCAUGACUGCUUAGUAGCGAAGCUAACGCGUGAAAUCGACCGCCUGGGGAGUACGGUCGCAAGAUUAAAACUCAAAGGAAUUGACGGGGACCCGCACAAGCGGUGGAUGAUGUGGAUUAAUUCGAUGCAACGCGAAGAACCUUACCUGGUCUUGACAU
rnacentral:rRNA from 1 species